CGCCGGGCUCUGCCCACCUUGAAGGGAAGUGGUCAUUGUGGCCCGUCGGGGGACUCACGCGUCAUAGGAGACCCAGCGCCUAGGAGAAGAUACGGAAAUUGGAGCCCAAAGCCAUGAAGUACCUCGCUCAAGAUAGGACUAAGUAAUUGGUGCAGUCAAGUUUCCAACCCAGAAGAUUCCAUAUCAAAAUCUAGGCUAUUAGAAAUGGCUGGCACUCAAUCCACUGAGCCACACCAGCCAGGGCUAACUACUUUCUAAUGAGGAAGACAAUGACCAGCAAAUUGUUUUGUCCUGCAAAGAAAUUUAUUUGUUAUCCCAUCGAAGUACUUGAAGUAGUUGUUGAAAUCAAAAACAGUUCUUUGAAGAUACUGUCUUCCUGUUUGUAAGGUGGUGGAUUCCUCAGCAUAGCAACCAAGACAAAGGAAAGGAGAUAACAUGGACCUGAAGCUACCACCUAGGAACAGGUGGACAAACAGAAUAUGUGAAAUACCCCUAGAAUUUAAAAAUAAGCCAAUUUGAAUUCCCUCGCAGAAGAACCUCCUCUGCAACUGUUCUUCAAAUGCCGUCAGAAACUCAAAAUUCAGGCGGUUUCCCUGCAAGUUUCAGUCUAUCCUUGAUGACUCAGAUUCCACGUCGCAUCUCUGUUCCUUGACCGCUCUCCCUACCUUGUCUCUGCUCAUCCUCCUUUCUGUUUACACCUUCAGCUCUUCAUUUUGAAAACAAUCAUCUUUCUGGAUUUCUACUUCAGACCUUCACCCAACGUACAGUGUUGCCUUGGUCAUGCUGUGUGGUCAUGCUCCAGCCAACAGCAGUCCCAGUCACUGAGGCAGCCUAGUCCAGGUACAAGCACAGAUAACCAGAACAGGAACCUACACCAAUUCAGUUGAUGGCCAGGCAGCUGGAAAGAGGAGGAUUUGGAGGAUUGUGGAAAAGUUAUGUUGGGGAUAUGACCUCUCAAAAUUAGCUCAAAAUGGUAAUAGAAGGAGAGAGGGAGAGAAAUAUCAAUGUAUGGUUGCCUCUCCUGUGUCACCCGCUGGGAACUGGCCUGCAACCCAGGCAUGUGCCCUGACUGGGAAUCGAACCGCGACCCUUUGGUUCGCAGGCCCGCGCUCAGUCCACUGAACUACACCAGCCAGGGCAAGAAACUCGUCUUCUUAAAAAAAAAAAAAAGCAAGUCAGCAGGCUAAUGUUCAAAGGAUUCACUGGCAUUAUUGCAUAUCCCAUUACACAGAAUGCACCAGUCACUGAAGACUCAGAUGAGCUUUACCAAGGUCAACAGGCUGGGAUUUGAGGUGCUGUCCUGCAGAAGGUGGUUUACACUCAAAACAAAUAACUACUAAAUGGAGUUGUGUUUCCAUUUGGCCAGAAUAUAUAAGUCUGGAAUCCUAGAGUUCAAAACUGAGAUGAGAUUCUCAGGGUUAUACUUAACAGUUUUUGUUUUUGUUUGUUUGUUUUUGACUUUGGAUUCUGAUAGAACAGUACCGUAAGAUGAGAAAUUUCAGCUAAGGCUGCACCUGAUCCACUUGUGUUCUUCAUGGCCUGUAGAAACAGACCAAAAAAAAGGGCAAAAAGAUAAAAGAAAUUGCUACUGUUGUGUUACAUUUGCUUGUUCCCCUUAAAGGAAAAUAAGGUUACUGCCCCAUUUCAGUAGGAAGAAAAUGUCGGUAUACUGCAACCUGGGUUUAGCAAGGCCGCCAGACACUCAGGACCCCCACUGUAAAGGAUAGAGAAUCCUGGCCCACUGAGGUUCGGGGUGAAUGCAGAGGAAAGUGUAAUGGAGGAGGGCGGUUAUGAAAUCCGGUUAAGGCCUGGGCUGAGGAGCAAGCCCAGUAACACCCACAUCCCCUUUUUGCUGAAUUGUGUUUCUCUGUCGUUGUUGCUGUUCAUUUGUUUCUUUGCAGAUGAGAACUCUGACUGAAAUAGUUUCCUAAUUUCUAGUGGACGCAUUUUUCUGGAAAAUGCAAUAGUUCAAUUUAAGUUUAUACCUACUUGAAUAAUAUACGUUUGCAUCUACUUUAAUUAAAUUACAUUACUUAAAGAAUUUAUAGCUCUAGAAAGAAGUAUUAUAUUUCAAAUAAAUGGGCUUAUAAUUGUUAAAAUUAUGUAGAAAGUUACUGAUUUUGAGAGGGUACUUUUAUGAUUCGAAAUAUUUAUUUCUCAGCUUCAUAUAAACUCUUC